AUCCAGCUGAAGAGUCCCAAAUAAGAUGAAAUGCGCCUCAAAUUGGAU
rfam:Schistosoma rodhaini strain Burundi genome assembly, scaffold: SROB_scaffold0011219